ACACAUACAUACGCUUACCACUCUGUUGCUAGCUAAUUCCCCGCCGAGAGCCGAUUUUGGUCAGACACGUUUCCUCAACUUGGCUAACAAAAUUCCUGUCUCAAUUAAAUUUAUGACUGGAGCUGUUUCACCCUCGGCAUCGGCAUUCGUUCAUCUUAUUCCACACAGAUAGCAUCCGCAGCUAAAAAUUUCUGCAACUUAUUCAGCCUAGAUCGUAUUACAAAUAGAUCUGUUUGUCUUCGAAGUGGGAGCUUUCUGAGAACUCAAAACUUUUCAAAUAAUAUAAAUUUAGAAUUCCGUGAUUGUUAAGUCUAGCAAUACCGUAUUUGAAACCGUAUAGAAGUAUCAGGUAUGAUGGUUUGUCCUGAGAAUUUUUUUGUAUCAGAAUUGAAAAAUGCUGAACAAUUGUAAUCCAUGCUUAUUUCAGUUUAGAAGUGACAAGUUUUUUAUUGAAAUUGGACAUUUCUUGAAAUCCCAAGACUUUAGAAGUAUCAUUCAAAAUAAAAAAGUACAGAGUUAUUAUAACCGGAUGUUAAUAGCUGUAUAAAAGUGAGAAGUUUAAUAUUGGAAUUUUAAUUAUAUUUUAACAAUCUAAGACUUUUAGGAGUGACAUAACUGAGUUGAAUGAAAUUCUGAUCGGGUGUUUUUGAUAUCUUCAAAAAAGAAUUUCUGGAGAACAAUACAGUGAUUCAGAUCAUGCAACUUAAUAAUUCGAGUCCUGUAAAAGUAACAAGCGUAAUUUAAACAUGGGUAUUAGUAUUGAGUAUAGACGAGUUUUUCUUAGAACAAUAGUGAUAAAAUAAACAACGUCCGAACUUCGUUAUUGUCCGUUACUGUUGUAAUUUGAACUGAGUAUUUUUUUGACAACCCAAUACCGGUCUUUUGAAGUAUCAUAAUUUGAAGAUACAAAGUGUGCAAAAGUUGAAGGAAUGUUCCGAAAGUUGGUUUUUUAAAGUCGAGUAAAAGUUGAAGGAAUGUUUUGAAAGUUGGUUUCUCUCAAUCUCCAAAAAAGGAAGUUUUUAAAAGUUCAGAAACAUCAGGAUUUAAGAUUACAGUGAUUGUAGUAGGUACCGUGAUGUAAUUUUUGAUGUUUUAAGCCGUGUAUUAGCAAGAUAUAUAGAAUUAAAAAGUGAGUAUUUUGUUUCAUACAAGUCUGUAACAGCAGUUGCGCUGCUUGAUGGUAACUUCACAUGUAUACAAUUCGUUUAAUAUUCAGGUCGAGUCGCAAUGUAUUCUAUCAAAGAACAACGUGUGUCUAUUGUACUGCUUUAGAGUGAAUCCGAUUCGUUCGCCAAGUGUCAAAAAACGUUCUUCGAUAAUAUUCAGAGUGGGGGAAAAAUAAGUGUAUUAUUAUAAAAAUAAAAAAUAAGUGUAUUAUCUCCAGAAUGUUGUAUGGCUAUUUCGCUGUAGUUAGUUGUAUAACUUAACACAUCUAGCCAGAAACACAAUGCUUCGUCUGGUGAGGUUCAAAGCGUAUUUAGUUUGGAUUUGAUAAAUUACAAACAUAUUCAACGAUUUUCGUAAUAUUAUUAGUGGUAUUUUUUACUGGGAUUAAGAUUUGCACUCACUUGACAAACAUACACUGGCGAGUAUGUAAUAGUCUAACUAGUGCGAGCUUAGUUAGCAGCCCUGUAUAAAGGUUUAUUCUAUUUCAUAAUAUCCAUGUCUAUAGAACAGUGGUUUUCAACCGUUUUUCUCAAGAGCCACAUUCUGAAAUUUUGGAGGAAACGCGGGCCGAUAAGUUUGGCCAGAAAUUAUCACCACUCCCCCUCCUUUAUUAAGUGAUAAAAUGAAUUAUUUAUCACUAACUACUUUAUUUAUCACUUAAUCAAGUGAUAAAAUGCACUCCUUUAUGAGUGUUUUAAUGAGUGAUAAAAUGCUCAAUAGUGAUAGAUGAUGAAUAGUUAUUUUUAAGAUUUUAUAUUGAAGUUUUCAAAAUUGUUAUUUUUUACAUUGGUAAAAACUGAUUAUAUUGAUAGAAAUCUAGUCCAUUCACGAAAUAAUAUUUUUUUACUGAGCUACCUUAUAAAAUCUUUUCGAGGUUGGAGACCCCUGCUAUAGUAAGUUGAACUCAGCUUGUGCUAUACUCGUAAGUAUAAAAUGUUUAGUACCUAUGUAAUAAGGUUGGUCAAGGUGUGAUGUCUUUUGACCAUGAUAAGCAGUUGAGUUUUGUAAUCCACUCAUAUCAGCAGCUCCAAGAAGCCAGUUUCUAUAUACUGUAAAUGUAUAGCAGUAGAAGCAUUAUGUACUGGAGCUCAUGCUAAUUUAAAGUGUGGUAAAGCAGGAGCAAAAUUUACUUUCUUCAAAAUAAUAAAUCGCAUUGAAUGGAUUACAUUAUCUUCAUGGCGGUUUCACAAGAGAUGUAUCCUGAAUGCCUUAGCAUAGAAUAUGAAAUGAAUUUGAUGACGUCCCCAUUUUCGAUAAAUUGACAAUUCUGGCAUUUGACUGAUUUGUCAUUACAUUUGCAUAGUAGGAUCAAGUUCAGUAUCUUCCUGGAUGUUGCAUAGAAAAUUAUGACCCGCAACUUGUAUAUCAAUAGGCCUAAUGUGCUCCUCUCUUUUUGAGAAAAAUAUAUUGAACAAGUUCUAAUUCUCAAUACAUCAUAAAUUAACAACAUGAAAUAGGCUAUGUGAUGCACCAACCAAAAAUAGCAGAGCUGCGAUUGGUUUAUAUUGUACCAUAUUAAUUAUAUUUCUGUAACUUAAUGUAUAAUCUAUUACUCUAUCCAACUCAGUAAUGGAUGCAAUAUUACACAUUGAAAAAUACAAACGUUUAUGUCAAUUCUCGAUUAUUAUAUGAGCAAUUGAACACGUAAAAUGCUAUGAACAAUGAAAAUCAUACUUACCCGUGU
rnacentral:lncRNA from 1 species